AUGGCCGGGACAAGAGACGACUACGACGUCACGGCGGCGCUCGACGAGUUCUACGCGUCCCGCACCGGCGUCUGCGGCCUGGUCGAGUCCGGUGUCACCAUCGUGCCACCGCUCUUCCUCGCGCCGAACAGCCCGCCUCCACCGCCACUCGGGACGACGAACUUCAUCAUCCCAACCAUCGACCUCUCUCUCCCACGCUCGGUCAUCGUGCCCCUCGUCCACGCCGCCGCGCGCACCUGCGGCAUCUUUUACGUCACCAACCACGGCGUCCCUGCUGACGUCAUUGACUCCGCCCUGUCCGCCGUCCGCGCCUUCCACGAGCUGCCUCCCGCCGUCCGGUCGGCGUUCUACACGCUCGCGCCCGUCGGUGGCGUAAGCUUCAGCACGUACCGCAACGACCGGCCACGGCAGGCUGCCAGGCCCGACGCCAUCCCCGUCCUGCCUUGGCGCGACAGCCUCACCAUCAGCCUCGCCCCGCCGGGUCCCGACAUGGGCCACUUCCCCGCGAGCUGCCGGGACCCGUUGCUUGAGUAUCACCGGGUCAUGGCGGAGUUCGGAAAGAAGAAGAUCGGGGCGCUGCUGUCAGAGGCGCUCGGUGUCGGUGCAGAGUGGCUCGAGAAGACUAUGCAGAUGGAGGCUGCGUCUAUGGCGUCCCACUACUAUCCUCCAUGCCCGGAGCCCGCGAAGGUGAUCGGCGGUAUGGACCACACCGACCCAUUCCUGUUCACGGUGCUGGUGCAGGACGCCGUCGGAGGGCUCGUGGUGCAUGUCGACGAUGGGGAGUGGAUAGACGUGCCGCCGGUGGCUGGAACGCUCUUAAUAAACAUCACAGAAUUGCUCAAGGUGUUUUCGAACGAUGAGUACAUUAGCAUAGAUCACAGGGUGAGGGUCAAGUCGAUGAAGGAAUCAAGGGUAUCCAUCGCCCUCUUCUUCAAUCCAAGCGACUCCCACAUAAUCGAGCCUCUCCCGGAGCUCGUGACGGCAGACAAGCCCCGACGGUACCGGAGUUUCACCAUGACUGAGUUCAUGGAUUCGAGAAAAGGCAAGUUCGGGAAUGGCAGCUCGUCCAUCCAGCAAUUCGCGCUCACGAGCGAACCAAGCUCUUAA
rnacentral:rRNA from 1 species